CCUACGGGAGGCAGCAGUGAGGAAUAUUGGUCAAUGGACGAGAGUCUGAACCAGCCAAGUAGCGUGAAGGAUGACUGCCCUAUGGGUUGUAAACUUCUUUUAUAUGGGAAUAAAAUGUUCCACGUGUGGGAUUUUGUAUGUACCAUAUGAAUAAGGAUCGGCUAACUCCGUGCCAGCAGCCGCGGUAAUACGGAGGAUCCGAGCGUUAUCCGGAUUUAUUGGGUUUAAAGGGAGCGUAGGUGGAUUGUUAAGUCAGUUGUGAAAGUUUGGGGCUCAACCGUAAAAUUGCAGUUGAAACUGGCAGGCUUGAGUACAGUAGAGGGGGGCAGAAUUCGAGGUGUAGCGGUGAAAUGCGGAGAGAUCACGAAGAAGACCGGGUGCGAAGGCAGC
rnacentral:rRNA from 1 species